rnacentral:rRNA from 1 species
CACGUAGGGCGCAAGCGUUGUCCGGAAUUAUUGGGCGUAAAGAGCUCGUAGGCGGCCUGUUGCGUCCGCUGUGAAAGCCCGGGGCUUAACCCCGGGUCUGCAGUGGAUACGGGCAGGCUAGAGGUAGGUAGGGGAGAAUGGAAUUCCCGGUGUAGCGGUGAAAUGCGCAGAUAUCGGGAGGAACACCGGUGGCGAAGGCGGUUCUCUGGGCCUUACCUGACGCUGAGGAGCGAAAGCGUGGGGAGCGGACAGG